GAUGAACGCUGGCGGCGUGCCUAAUACAUGCAAGUCGAGCGAACAGACGAGGAGCUUGCUCCUCUGACGUUAGCGGCGGACGGGUGAGUAACACGUGGAUAACCUACCUAUAAGACUGGGAUACCUUCGGGAAACCGGGGCUAAUACCGGAUAAUAUAUUGACCCGCAUGGUUCAAUAGUGAAAGACGGUUUUGCUUUCACUAAUAGAUGGAUCCGCGCCGCAUUAGCUAGUUGGUAAGGUAACGGCUUACCAAGGCGACGAUGCGUAGCCGACCUGAGAGGGUGAUCGGCCACACUGGAACUGAGACACGGUCCAGACUCCUACGGGAGGCAGCAGUAGGGAAUCUUCCGCAAUGGGCGAAAGCCUGACGGAGCAACGCCGCGUGAGUGAUGAAGGUCUUCGGAUCGUAAAACUCUGUUAUUAGGGAAGAACAAAUGUGUAAGUAACUAUGCACGUCUUGACGGUACCUAAUCAGAAAGCCACGGCUAACUACGUG
rnacentral:rRNA from 1 species